rnacentral:misc_RNA from 1 species
CGUAGCAAUACGGAGCGGCAGACGGGAGAGUAACACGUGGGAACGUACCCUUUGGUUCGGAACAACCCUGGGAAACUUGGGCUAAUACCGAAUAAGCCCUUACGGGGAAAGAUUUAUCGCCGAAGGAUCGGCCCGCGUCUGAUUAGCUAGUUGGUGGGGUAACGGCCCACCAAGGCGACGAUCAGUAGCUGGUCUGAGAGGAUGAUCAGCCUCACUGGGACUGAGGCACGGCCCAGACUCCUACGGGAAUCUGCAGAGAAAACUC